GAUGAACGCUGGCGGCGUGCCUAAUACAUGCAAGUCGAGCGAACGGACGAGAAGCUUGCUUCUCUGAUGUUAGCGGCGGACGGGUGAGUAACACGUGGAUAACCUACCUAUAAGACUGGGAUAACUUCGGGAAACCGGAGCUAAUACCGGAUGAUAUUUUGAACCGCAUGGUUCAAAAGUGAAAGACGGUCUUGCUGUCACUUAUAGAUGGAUCCGCGCUGCAUUAGCUAGUUGGUAAGGUAACGGCUUACCAAGGCAACGAUGCAUAGCCGACCUGAGAGGGUGAUCGGCCACACUGGAGCUGAGACACGGUCCAGACUCCUACGGGAGGCAGCAGUAGGGAAUCUUCCGCAAUGGGCGAAAGCCUGACGGAGCAACGCCGCGUGAGUGAUGAAGGUCUUCGAAUCGUAAAACUCUGUUAUUAGGGAAGAACAUAUGUGUAAGUAACUGUGCACAUCUUGACGGUACCUAAUCAGAAAGCCACGGCUAACUACGUG
rnacentral:rRNA from 1 species